GCCAGCAUGGUGGAAUCGGUAGACACGCCGCAUUCAAAAUGCGGUUCCGAAAGGAGUGACGGUUCAAGUCCGUCUGCUGGUA
rnacentral:tRNA from 1 species